CGAGCGUCUCCAAGCCAUGGAAGAGACGCGGCACACAGCUCAGUAACACGUGGCUAACCUACCCUUGGGACAGGGACAACUCCGGGAAACUGGAGCUAAUCCUUGAUAAGUGAGAACUUCUGGAAUGGAUUCUCGCUCAAAGGACGUUUAGACCAUGCUUCUAAGCGUCGCCCAAGGAAGGGGCCGCGACCGAUCAGGUUGUUGGUGAGGUAACGGCUCACCAAGCCUUUAACCGGUACGGGCCGUGAGAGCGGAAGCCCGGAGAUGGGCACUGAGACAAGGGCCCAGGCCCUACGGGGCGCAGCAGUCGCGAAAACUCCGCAAUACACGAAAGUGUGACGGGGCCAUCCCGAGUGCCAUCCGCUGAGGAUGGCUUUUCCCCAGUGUAUAAAGCUGGGGGAAUAAGGAGAGGGCAAGCCUGGUGUCAGCCGCCGCGGUAAUACCAGCUCUCCGAGUGGUGGGGAUGCUUAUUGGGCCUAAAGCAUUCGUAGCCUGCUUGGCUAGUCCUCCGUUAAAUCCAACGAUUCAAUCGUUGGGCUGCGGGGGAUACUGUCCGGCUAGGGGGCGGGAGAGGCCGACGGUAUCCUCGGGGUAGGGGUGAAGUCCUA
rnacentral:rRNA from 1 species